rnacentral:rRNA from 1 species
AUUGAACGCUGGCGGCAGGCCUAACACAUGCAAGUCGGACGGUAGCACAGAGGAGCUUGCUCCUCGGGUGACGAGUGGCGGACGGGUGAGUAAUGUCUGGGGAUCUGCCCGAUAGAGGGGGAUAACCACUGGAAACGGUGGCUAAUACCGCAUAACGUCGCAAGACCAAAGAGGGGGACCUUCGGGCCUCUCACUAUCGGAUGAACCCAGAUGGGAUUAGCUAGUAGGCGGGGUAACGGCCCACCUAGGCGACGAUCCCUAGCUGGUCUGAGAGGAUGACCAGCCACACUGGAACUGAGACACGAUCCAGACUCCUACGGGAGGCAGCAGUGGGGAAUAUUGCACAAUGGGCGCAAGCCUGAUGCAGCCAUGCCGCGUGUAUGAAGAAGGCCUUCGGGUUGUAAAGUACUUUCAGCGGGGAGGAAGGCGGUGAAGUUAAUAACUUCACCGAUUGACGUUACCCGCAGAAGAAGCACCGGCUAACUCCGUGCCAGCCGCCGCCGUAA